AACCGUCUUGCUUACCCCCGCUUUUCACCUUAAAUAAACCCAAUCUUUCGCUUCUACUUCCUUCGCAAAAUUCACCAAAACGAAGUAAGCACAUCAAGGCACAUCAAGCAAUGGAAACCAAAGCGGCUCCAAUCGAUCAGUUCUUCAACGAUGUCGUCUCCACUGGCUUGGUGAAUCAACUUUCACAUGCUUCUACUUUCUCCUGCUUCUUUCUUUUACAUAAGUUUUGCAGAAGUUGGAGAGACUCGAGGCGGCGUUUGUGAGGAAAGAUUACAAUAGCUGUGAUGAUCUGUUGUCAGCUUAAGGCAUUUUUUUUUAUACCAAAUUCAGAAGUCUUCCUCCAUUGUUUGAGAAUACACGAUGGACCUGACUCUUGCAAAUUGCAACUCUAACAUGUCACACAUACCGAGUUUACCUUGCCGUCUCACCUGAUGGACAAACGAUUGUAACCGGAGCAGGAGAUGAAACCUUAAGGUUGCUGUCCAUGAAAGCCUAGCUCAGAACAAGGCACUGCGGUCGGGAGCUGGUUCAGCGGAUUCGACAGGACAGCUUCGGCGUUCUCAUCGGCCCACCAGGUUAGCUUCGACAGUCAAUUGAAACUCCUUCAGAAGCUUUUAUGUCUUCUACUCUAUAUGAAGUUGAAGAGGAGAGAGUUGGUGUACAUGUUUAUAGUGGGCUAUAUGAGGUACCAUCGUUCUUUGCAGUGUUUUAAAAUUUUCAUGUAAAUGUUAACAUGUUUAACCUUUAAAGUCCUUAUAUCCAAUUUAUAUUUUGACAAAGGAACCAGAAUAGUAUUAGUGAACUUGGUGAGGAGGCAUUGUUUCCCGGUGUACUGGAAUGGAGAUAAUAGGUGUGUGCUUAGAGGCCAUAAUCAUUUACCGAACAUUUGGAGAUUGCAUAUCGUAACAAGGUUAAAUGUCUUUCUCUAGAGUGUAGACUUAACUAAAAAAAAUUCUACAUGCUGCUUCUUACCGCUUUGAGUUUUAAAAUUUUAAGAUUCAUAAGCUAUGUUUGUUUUUUAUGUUUCCUUUUGUUGUUGAGAAUUCAUGUACUGAUGCUGAUAACACAACAGACCAUUUUCGUUUGGAUGUUUUUUCACCCAGGUAUGUCUCAUGAGGUUUCAACCCUCUAGGUCUUUUGCAGGUUCCAGGUUCCAGGUUUAGGUGAGUUAAUGUGUAAAAAAAUGUAAUAUUCCUUUCAGCUGAAUGAUUGCCUAGAUAAUGUUGUACUAAAUUACUAAUGUAGGAAUUCAUACUAUCUUUACCGGGAUGAUGAUACUUGAGAAGCUUGGCUUAGUGUUAAUCCCUCCUGCUUCCCACUACUACGACUUUUACAAUGUUCCAUACUUCGAUUUUUUCAUAGGCAAACAGUUUUUAAAGGCUUACACGUGUUCUCGAAGUUGUUAGUCCUAAAUUCCUAAUGCUAAAAUAAUAAAAUCAACAUUUAUAUGAUUAUGAUCGCAAGAUAAUAGUUCUUCACU